rnacentral:misc_RNA from 1 species
GCAAACUUGGUCAUUUAGAGGAAGUAAAAGUCGUAACAAGGUCUCCGUUGGUGAACCAGCGGAGGGAUCAUUACAGAGUUUUCUAAACUCCCAAACCCAUGUGAACUUACCAUUGUUGCCUCGGCGGAGCCUACCCUGUAGCUACCCUAUAAGGUGGUUACCCUGUAGCGCCCCGCCGGUGGAUUUUCAAACUCUUGUUAUUUAUAGUAAUCUGAGAGUCUUAUUUUAAAUAAGUCAAAACUUUCAACAACGGAUCUCUUGGUUCUGGCAUCGAUGAAGAACGCAGC